rnacentral:rRNA from 1 species
UACGUAGGGUGCGAGCGUUGCCCGGAUUUAUUGGGCGUAAAGGGCGCGUAGGCGGCCUGGCGCGUCGGCUGUGAAAUCUCCCGGCUCAACUGGGAGGGGACGGCCGAUACGGCUGGGCUUGAGCGAGGUAGGGGAGAGUGGAAUUCCCGGUGUAGUGGUGGAAUGCGUAGAUAUCGGGAGGAACACCAGUGGCGAAGGCGGCAUCCUGGACCGGUAUUGACACUGAGGCGCGAAGGCGUGGGGAGCGAACAGG